UCGCUUUGGCUGGAUCCACAUAACUCUUCACAUUCUAGUACCCGUUCACAUACCAUGACACCUAAUCCGCCCCCAACUGUUGCUACACUGCAACAACAGCUUACAGAGAUGCAAUCCUCACUCGAGAGGAUGGCCAAUGAGCUAAGGGAGAUGAAGAGUAAGAAAGGAAAAAAUCAUACACUCCAAGUCCGACUCGUAUCACUCUCCUGUAGGAGACGGUUUCAGGAGAACAUAGAGACACAAGCAUCUCAGUUCUCACCAUAAAUCAGUGACACAUCAUUCGGAUGUGCCCUCAAGUUCCAGGACUAGUGCGGAUCAUAAUGCCACUCUCGUAGAAAGGGUAACCAAGAAAGUGCUUCGUAAACUCGCAGACAAACAAGACAUAGGCAACCCACAUGAAUUUCUCAUGGAAAAAGACACCCAUUCACAGGGACCUCCUGAGAAAACCCUUCCCACGAUCGUGGCAGUGUCCGAAGAUAGACUCGUACGAUGGGACGACAGAUCCAGAAGAUCAU
rnacentral:lncRNA from 1 species